CGCACGGGUGAGUAACGCGUAUGCAACUUACCUAUCAGAGGGGGAUAACCCGGCGAAAGUCGGACUAAUACCGCAUGAAGCAGGGAUCCCGCAUGGGAAUAUUUGCUAAAGAUUCAUCGCUGAUAGAUAGGCAUGCGUUCCAUUAGGCAGUUGGCGGGGUAACGGCCCACCAAACCGACGAUGGAUAGGGGUUCUGAGAGGAAGGUCCCCCACAUUGGAACUGAGACACGGUCCAAACUCCUACGGGAGGCAGCAUG
rnacentral:rRNA from 1 species